CCCACCUUGCACACCCUUGCUCUUUCAGGUUU
rnacentral:piRNA from 1 species